rnacentral:rRNA from 1 species
UGCAUGGGCGAAGCCUGUCAGCCUUCCGCGUGAGUGAAGAAGGCCUUCGGGUUGUAAAGCUCUUUCGCAAGGGAAGAAACGAUGCAGUCGAAUAAACUGUGUUAAUGACGGUACCUUGAUAAGAAGCACCGGCUAACUACGUGCCAGCAGCCGCGGUAAUACGUAGGGUGCAAGCGUUAAUCGGAAUUACUGGGCGUAAAGCGUGCGCAGGCGGUUUUGUAAGUCAGAUGUGAAAUCCCCGAGCUCAACUUGGGAACUGCGUUUGAAACUACAAGACUAGAAUAUGUCAGAGGGGGGUAGAAUUCCACGUGUAGCAGUGAAAUGCGGAGGGAGGUGGAGGAAUACCAAUGGCGAAGGCAGCCCCCUGGGAUAAUAUUGACGCUCAUGCACGAAAG